rnacentral:rRNA from 1 species
CGAACGCUGGCGGCGCGCCUAAUACAUGCAAGUCGAGCGAGAAGGUGUAGCAAUACACUUGUAAAGCGGCGAACGGGUGAGGAAUACAUGGGUAACCUACCCUCGAGUGGGGAAUAACUAGCCGAAAGGUUAGCUAAUACCGCAUACGAUUCCCGGUCUGCGGAUCGGGAAGGAAAGCGAUACCGUGGGUAUCGCGCUCCUGGAUGGGCUCAUGUCCUAUCAGCUUGUUGGUGAGGUAACGGCUCACCAAGGCUUCGACGGGUAGCUGGUCUGAGAGGACGAUCAGCCACACUGGCACUGCGACACGGGCCAGACUCCUACGGGAGGCAGCAGUAAGGAAUAUUGCGCAAUGGGCGAAAGCCUGACGCAGCGACGCCGCGUGGGGGAUGAAGGUCUUCGGAUUGUAAACCCCUUUCGGGAGGGAAGAUGGAAUGGGUAACCAUUCGGACGGUACCUCCAGAAGCAGCCACGGCUAACUUCGU